rnacentral:rRNA from 1 species
UACGUAGGGUGCGAGCGUUGUCCGGAAUUAUUGGGCGUAAAGGGCUCGUAGGCGGUCUGUCACGUCAGGAGUGAAAACUCGGGGCUCAACCCCGAGCCUGCUUCUGAUACGGGCAGACUGGAGUUCGGCAGGGGAGACUGGAAUUCCUGGUGUAGCGGUGAAAUGCGCAGAUAUCAGGAGGAACACCGGUGGCGAAGGCGGGUCUCUGGGCCGAUACUGACGCUGAGGAGCGAAAGCGUGGGGAGCGAACAGG